rnacentral:rRNA from 1 species
GAUGAACGCUGGCGGCGUGCCUAAUACAUGCAAGUCGAGCGAACAGACGAGGAGCUUGCUCCUCUGACGUUAGCGGCGGACGGGUGAGUAACACGUGGAUAACCUACCUAUAAGACUGGGAUAACUUCGGGAAACCGGAGCUAAUACCGGAUAAUAUAUUGAACCGCAUGGUUCAAUAGUGAAAGACGCUUUUGCUGUCACUUAUAGAUGGAUCCGCGCCGCAUUAGCUAGUUGGUAAGGUAACGCCUUACCGAGGCAACGUUGCGUAGCCGACCUGAGAGGGUGAUCGGCCAAAUUGGAACUGGGACACGGUCCAGACUCCUACGGGAGGCAGCAGUAGGGAAUCUUCCGCAAUGGGCGAAAGCCUGACGGAGCAACGCCGCGUGAGUGAUGAAGGUCUUCGGAUCGUAAAACUCUGUUAUUAGGGAAGAACAAAUGUGUAAGUAACUAUGCACGUCUUGACGGUACCUAAUCAGAAAGCCACGGCUAACUACGUG